GUGCCAGCAGCCGCGGUAAUACGUAGGGACCGAGCGUUGUCCGGAAUCAUUGGGCGUAAAGAGCGUGUAGGCGGCCAACUAAGUCCUGCGUGAAAUCUCGGGGCUCAACCCCGAGCGGUCGUGGGAAACUGGUUGGCUAGAGUGCGGGAGAGGAGAGUGGAAUUCCUGGUGUAGCGGUGAAAUGCGCAGAUAUCAGGAAGAACACCCGUGGCGAAGGCGGCUCUCUGGAACGCAACUGACGCUGAGACGCGAAAGCGUGGGGAGCAAACAGGAUUAGAUACCCUGGUAGUCCACGCCGUAAACGAUGGACGCUAGGUGUGGGCGGUGUCGACUCCGUCCGUGCCGAAGCUAACGCAUUAAGCGUCCCGCCUGGGGAGUACGGCCGCAAGGCUAAA
rnacentral:rRNA from 1 species